GGGAGGGGAGGGAAGGCUAGACCAGUAUAUAAGGGAGUGAGGGCGGCCUCGGUGAUCAGUCAUCACUGAGAGCCCGAGUUAUUUUUUACUGAAUUCGACUGGCUUUUGUUACAGUAAUCAUGUUGUGUCUGAUGGCACUGGCAGUCCUCAGUGGCGUCGUAUUGUCGUCUCCCCCAAACCUUGGUCGUGGUGGACCUAUGAGUACUCGCUUUUCAUCUGUUUCCACUACAUUAAUCCCUGAACCUGCACACGCCUACAAGUCGACCCAUAGCCCGGUGCACCCUACGUCGACCCAUAGCCCGGUGCACCCUACGUCGACCCAUAGCCCGGUGCACACGACGUCGACCCAUAGCCCGGUGCACACGACGUCGACCCAUAGCCCGGUGCAACACGACGUCGACCCAUAGCCCGGUGCACACGACGUCGACCCAUAGCCCGGUGCACACGACGUCGACCCAUAGCCCGGUGCACACGACGUCGACCCAUAGCCCGGUGCACACGACGUCGACCCAUAGCCCGGUGCACAUACCCA